rnacentral:rRNA from 1 species
AUUGAACGCUGGCGGCAGGCCUAACACAUGCAAGUCGAGCGAGCGGCGGACGGGUGAGUAAUGUAUGGGGACUGCCCGAUAGAGGGGGAUAACUACUGGAAACGGUAGCUAAUACAGCAUACUAUCGGAUAACCCAUAUGGGAUUAGCUAGUAGGUGAGGGAAUGGCUCACCUAGGCGACGAUCCCUAGCGGGUCUGAGAGGAUUAUCAGGCAAACUGGGACGUGGACACGGCCCAAACUCCUUCGGAGGCAGCAGUGGGGAAUAUUUCACAAUGGGGGAAACCCUGAUCCAGCCAUCCCGCGUGUAUGAUGAAGGCCUUCGGGUUUUAAAGUACUUUUGGCAGAGAAGCGGUAUCUGCAGAAUAAGCACCGGCUAACUACGUGCCAGCAGCCGCGGUAAUUC